UACGGAGGGUGCAAGCGUUAAUCGGAAUUACUGGGCGUAAAGGGCGCGUAGGUGGUUACUUAAGUCGGAUGUGAAAGCCCCGGGCUUAACCUGGGAAUUGCAUUUGAUACUGGGUGACUAGAAUGUGGUAGAGGGUAGCGGAAUUUGUGGUGUAGCGGUGAAAUGCUUAGAUAUCACAAAGAACUCCAAUUGCGAAGGCAGCUCACUGGGGUAUAACUGACGCUGAUGCACGAAGGUGUGGGUAUCAAACAGG
rnacentral:rRNA from 1 species